rnacentral:lncRNA from 12 species
CACUCAUCAUGUCUAUCUGGUCAGUCCAACCUUGACCUAUUGAGGGCUGGGCUUAUGGUUUUCUUCUUCACUCAGUUCCUUUUGUUUCCUUGUUUAGAUACUGUGGCUGCUUCCUGGGCACUGUAAAGAAUCAUCCUCAUCCUCAUUAAAGAAGAGGACACCCCACAACAAGCUCUUGUCCAACAAGUUCCUCAUGAUUGGGAAUGCUAAUCACGGGGUGAACUCAGAAGGAAUGUGCUUUCUCAAGAGGA